UUCAUCUCCGGGGGUAGAGCACUGUUUCGGCUAGGGGGCCAUCCCGGCUUACCAACCCGAUGCAAACUGCGAAUACCGGAGAAUGUUAUCACGGGAGACACACGGCGGGUGCUAACGUCCGUCGUGAAGAGGGAAACAACCCAGACCGCCAGCUAAGGUCCCAAAGUCAUGGUUAAGUGGGAAACGAUGUGGGAAGGCCCAGACAGCCAGGAUGUUGGCUUAGAAGCAGCCAUCAUUUAAAGAAAGCGUAAUAGCUCACUGGUCGAGUCGGCCUGCGCGGAAGAUGUAACGGGGCUAAACCAUGCACCGAAGCUGCGGCAGCGACACUGUGUGUUGUUGGGUA
rnacentral:rRNA from 2 species